CUGCAACAUAGUCCUCAUCUUGUAGCUGGCCCAUGACAGCGACAUCAUCGUCCGCACUGACGAACUCGUCGAAUGUCAAUCUGUCGAUAGCACCCGGGCGACCGAACUCUGCCAGCUUGUUGGGCGGAAA
rnacentral:lncRNA from 1 species